ACAUGCAGUCGAGCGGAGAUGAGGUGCUUGCACCUUAUCUUAGCGGCGGACGGGUGAGUAAUGCUUAGGAAUCUGCCUAUUAGUGGGGGACAACAUUCCGAAAGGAAUGCUAAUACCGCAUACGUCCUACGGGAGAAAGCAGGGGAUCUUCGGACCUUGCGCUAAUAGAUGAGCCUAAGUCGGAUUAGCUAGUUGGUGGGGUAAAGGCCUACCAAGGCGAGUCUGUAGCGGGUCUGAGAGGAUGAUCCGCCACACUGGGACUGAGACACGGCCCAGACUUCUACGGGAGGCAGCAGUGGGGAAUAUUGGACAAUGGGGGGAACCCUGAUCCAGCCAUGCCGCGUGUGUGAAGAAGGCCUUAUGGUUGUAAAGCACUUUAAGCGAGGAGGAGGCUACUGAGACUAAUACUCUUGGAUAGUGGACGUUACUCGCAGAAUAAGCACCGGCUAACUCUGUGCCAGCAGCCGCGGUAAUACAGAGGGUGCGAGCGUUAAUCGGAUUUACUGGGCGUAAAGCGUGCGUAGGCGGCUUUUUAAGUCGGAUGUGAAAUCCCCGAGCUUAACUUGGGAAUUGCAUUCGAUACUGGGAAGCUAGAGUAUGGGAGAGGAUGGUAGAAUUCCAGGUGUAGCGGUGAAAUGCGUAGAGAUCUGGAGGAAUACCGAUGGCGAAGGCAGCCAUCUGGCCUAAUACUGACGCUGAGGUACGAAAGCAUGGGGAGCAAACAGGAUUAGAUACCCUGGUAGUCCAUGCCGUAAACGAUGUCUACUAGCCGUUGGGGCCUUUGAGGCUUUAGUGGCGCAGCUAACGCGAUAAGUAGACCGCCUGGGGAGUACGGUCGCAAGACUAAAACUCAAAUGAAUUGACGGGGGCCCGCACAAGCGGUGGAGCAUGUGGUUUAAUUCGAUGCAACGCGAAGAACCUUACCUGGGCCUUGACAUACUAAAACUUUCCAGAGAUGGAUUGG
rnacentral:rRNA from 1 species